CCAAAAACACCAUCAUAACAAGCAUGCAAACAUAAUAAAUCAAGACAUAUUUGCUGUCCAUAUUUUCAGCUCCAUCAACCUUCUUUCACUCUUCAUUUUACUCCUUAUUUCAUCCAUAAGCAAAGUUGAAGUUCAAUCUUACAAUUUCUAGCAAAAACACCUUAUUUUCUCAUCAAAUCUUCUUCAAAAACCCAUCUAAAACUUCUGAAAAUUUAUGUUUAUAAACUCAAAUCUCCCAUAAAAAUAAUCUUCAUCUUAAGAGCUUUCCAUAGACACCAAACUUGAAGAAAUCCACCAAGUAUAGAGUUUAGUUGAAGAGUUGGAGUUGAGACUUGAAGGGCAAGGACCCAAAGUUAGAACCACUUCUAAGAACGCGUAGGAGCUUACGUGGGAGCUUACGGAAUAAUUAUAUAGGCUUGGAGUCGAGAGUAAACCCCUAUGGCACCUCGACGGAGAAUGGAUAUGCGAGCGGAAGAUGAACCUGAGUUGGAGUAUGACUCCCCUUUGUUUAGAUCUCGUUAUUUUAUUUGAGAGACUGUUAGUUUAGAUUUAGACUAUUUUAAGGAUGUCAUUUGAA